rnacentral:misc_RNA from 1 species
GUAGGGACUUCAACCCUUGGCUCUGGAAAAUAUGAAGGAGAGUAUAAUAAGGAAACAAAUCCCAGAAUUUCAAAGAGAACAAAGCCAAGAGGGAUAAAAAAACAAAAGACCCAGUGACUGUGCAGGCUCUAUCUGAGGUCGUCGGAGUGUGGCGACGUGGCCAGUGGCGGUGAAGUAAGAAAAGGUGGUUGGAGGAGUGCUCAUGCGUCAACGCGUGGAUCUAGGGCCAAAACUCUGUGGCGGCAUAUGGGGGCUCAUGAUGGUGCUUCAGGUGACCGGAUUCUUAGGGGAUAGUCGUCGACACUUGAUGCUUCUUCUGAGGUAGUAGGUGAGGCACAAUCUGUCACGCACCUGCCCUAAAGAAUGGAGAGGCACUCUGACUCUCCCCUAACAAACUAGGGAAGAAGAAGAAGAGAGAGAAGGCAAAACCAAAAAAGGCUACACCUUUACUCAAUUUCCAUUAACUUCUCAUAAUGCAUGGUACAUAUUUAAAAUGAAAAACUACAAGAAAUAGAUAAGGAAGGCUUCUAACUAAUAUGGGAUUCUUUACAAGAUGGACUAAUCCCUUGUAUUAAUUAGAUAAUAACCAUCCCUUAAAUUAACGAACCUCAUCAAUUCCAACAUCAUGGAAAAUCAGAAUUCCUAUUUAGUAUAGGAUUUAUAUUCCU